AUGCAGGAGGACUGUUUCCUGAAGGAGUGUGAAAAUGGCAUUUGCUGCAGAAAGUUGGAAUUGUGGAUACCCUGCAUCCUGAACCUGCUGCAGAAGAUCUGGAGUACCUGCAGGAGAGCGAAGACAGUAAAACUGCAUUCGUACUUCGUGGGAGUGAAUUACAGCAAGGACUUCUACCUGCAGCAACAACACCCAGGUUAAUGUACCAGUGCACACCAACUGCUUAGGAAUAUGUGGCAACUCUGUUCUGGGUGGUGGUCUGAGAACACCAAACUCAUUUCAUGAGUGAAAGCUUUCAGAAGAACAGUUUUCGGUAAAGGAGAGAAUUUUGAACACCUUCAUAAAUGCAGCGUUGGAUGUUUGCCUCAGCCAACUUCCUAAAUUUCCGUUUUCCUGCCAGAAAUUUUCUUUUCUAAAAAUAUUUGACUUUGCUGUCUAAUCUAGAGACGGAUAAUGCUGAUUUUAAAAAUCUGACUGAUACAGGAUAAAAGAAUGACUUCUAAAACAGUGCCUGAGUUGCUUUGGAACGCAUUUUAUAACCAAAUGCGCUGUUCAGGGCAUGGUGUGGUUUCUGCACAACCCUGUGCUUCCCCCCAGUAACCAUUACUGCCUUCCUAAUCUGCUAGAACAUUUAGUACCCUCCUCUUAUCCGAAGAAAAAUACAAUUGCUGGCUCUGAUAUUCAUUAAGUGAUAAUCCAGAUUAAUUCAGACUUCGAUGUAGAAACAGGUCCCAUUUCAGCCACAAAGAAAUCCA
rnacentral:lncRNA from 1 species